ensembl:misc_RNA Y_RNA Y RNA
GGUCGGUCUAAAGGUAGUGAGUUAUCUCAACUGAUUGCUCACAGUCAAUUACAGAUCAAACUCAUUGUUCAACACUUUCCCCCCUUCUCACUACAGCACUUGUCUAGUCUAAA